rnacentral:tRNA from 1 species
AGCAGCGUGGCCGAGAAAUAGGCAGUAGACUGUAGAUCUUCCAACGGGUUCGCCCCGCUGCUA